rnacentral:rRNA from 1 species
ACGAAGGGUGCAAGCGUUAAUCGGAAUUACUGGGCGUAAAGGGUGCGUAGGCGGUUCGUUAAGUCUGUCGUGAAAUCCCCGGGCUCAACCUGGGAAUGGCGAUGGAUACUGGCGAGCUAGAGUGUGUCAGAGGAUGGUGGAAUUCCCGGUGUAGCGGUGAAAUGCGUAGAUAUCGCUUGGAACGCCGAAGGUGAAAACAGGCUGCUGGGGUUGUGCCGACGCUGAGACACGAAAGCCAGGGGAGCAAACGGGA